rnacentral:rRNA from 1 species
ACGGCCCAGACUCCUACGGGGAGGCAGCAGUGGGGGAAUAUUGGACAAUGGGGGGAAACCCUGAUCCAGCAAUGCCGCGUGAGUGAUGAAGGCCUUCGGUUGUAAAGCUCUUUUGUUCAGGGACGAUGAUGACGGUACCUGACGAAUAAGCUCCGGCUAACUUCGUGCCAGCAGCCGCGGUAAUACGAGGGGAGCUAGCGUUGUUCGGAAUUACUGGGCGUAAAGGGCGUGUAGGCGGUAUCAUAAGUCAGAUGUGAAAGCCCUAGGCUUAACCUAGGAGGUGCAUUUGAUACUGUGAAACUAGAGAUCGAGAGAGGAAAGUGGAAUUACGAGUGUAGAGGUGAAAUUCGUAGAUAUUCGUAAGAACACCGAUGGCGAAGGCAGCUUUCUGGCUCGAUACUGACGCUAAGGCGCGAAAGCGUGGGGGAGCAAAACAGGAUUAGAUACCCUGGUAGUCCACGCUGUAAACGAUGAGUGCUAGAUGUUGGUGAAGGAAUUCAUCAGUGUCGCAGCU